AUAUGGCUAUUCCUAUGCCAUGUCAACUUUUUUAUUCUCCACAAUGAAGACCCAGGUUUGUGUCAGGAUGAGCAGAGGGCUUCAAAGCUCCAGGACUCAAUUAGACACAAGUCUGAAUGAGACAAGAGCCUUAUUGAACCUGCCUCAGCUAGGAGCCUGUCCCCUCCAAGCCCGCUGGGUACAAGAGACAGUACUCCAGCUCUUCCACAGAAACCCGGAUGAGUGCCCAGGUACCUCUGUUCUGCAACACUGGGAAAAAUGGCAGGUGUUUUCUAUAGACAUUUUGAAAUAAUAAAAUAAUUGAAAAUUUCAACAAUAGAUAUAAAAUUUAACUUUUUUCACUGAA
rnacentral:lncRNA from 1 species